rnacentral:rRNA from 1 species
GACUGUGCAAAGGUAGCAUAAUCAAUUGGCUCAUAAUUGGAGUCUAGAAUGAAGGAAAAAAUAAGAAAUAACUGUUUCUAAGUAAUUAUUAGAAAUUAAUUAUAAAGUGCAAAUGCUUUUAAAUAAAAAUUAGACGAGAAGACCCUAGAAAUUUUUUGUUGGGUUUAUGAGCAUUUUGUUGGGGCGACAAAGUAACAGGUUAAUAACUUACUUAUUUUAUUUGGAGUAAUUGUACAGAAGAAAAAAAUUACUCUG